AAACCAUUUUUCCCCCUUAGUAUGGGUGACAGAAAAGGGCAUCGAGGCGCGAUAGAGAAAGUACCGCAAGGGAAAGCUGAAAGAGAAAUGAAAUAACCCAGCAAAGCUCUAUAAAGCAGAGAUAGCCCCUCGUACCUUUUGCAUCAUGAUUUAGCCAGUAAAAUUUAAGCAAAGAGCACUUUAGUUUAAAACCCCGAAACUACGUGAGCUACUCCGAGACAGCCUAAGAAUAGGGCUAACCCGUCUCUGUGGCAAAAGAGUGGGAAGAGCUCCGAGUAGAGGUGACAAACCUACCGAACCUAGUUAUAGCUGGUUGCCUGGGAAAUGGAUAGAAGUUCAGCCUCAUGGCUUCUCCACUCGCAUCACACUUACCCAAGGACUAUAGAAGAAACCCUGAGAGUUAUUCAAAGGAGGUACAGCUCCUUUGACCCAAGACACAACUUUAUCAGGAGGCUAAAGAUCAUAUUUAUAUUAAGGCAAGAUGUCCUGGUGGGCCUAAAAGCAGCCAUCCAUACAGAAAGCGUUAAAGCUCAAACAUACCCGCCUCCCCUAUUAUAAGGAUAAUUUUAUCUUAAACCCCUAACCCCUACCAGGCCCUCCCAUGCUAACAUGGGAAUGAUAAUGCUAAAAUGAGUAAUAAGAGAGCCAGACUCUCUCCCUGCACGUGUGUACCUCGGAACGGACCCCCCACCGAAUCUUAACGGCCCCAAACAAAGAGGGUAAUGAACAACAAAAGAGAUAACCAGAAGAACACUCAACCUCUACCGUUAACCCCACACUGGUGUGCCCCUAGGGAAAGACUAAAAGAAAAAGAAGGAACUCGGCAAACACAAGCCUCGCCUGUUUACCAAAAACAUCGCCUCUUGCAAAAUUAAUGAAUAAGAGGUCCCGCCUGCCCUGUGACAUGAAUGUUUAACGGCCGCGGUAUUUUGACCGUGCGAAGGUAGCGCAAUCACUUGUCCUUUAAAUGGGGACCUGUAUGAAUGGCAUAACGAGGGCUUAGCUGUCUCCUUUUUCAGGUCAGUGAAAUUGAUCUCCCCGUGCAGAAGCGGGGAUGUUAACAUAAGACGAGAAGACCCUAUGGAGCUUUAGACACUAAAGCAGACCACGUUAAGCACCCUCAGAUAAAGAAUAAAACUACAUGGCCCCUGCCCUAAUGUCUUUGGUUGGGGCGACCGCGGGGGAAUACAAAGCCCCCAUGAGGAACGGGAAAACCCUUCCUACAGCCAAGAGUUCCCACUCUAGUGACCAGAACUUCUGACCUUUCAGAUCCGGCAAAGCCGAUCAACGGACCGAGUUACCCUAGGGAUAACAGCGCAAUCCUCUUUUAGAGCCCAUAUCGACAAGAGGGUUUACGACCUCGAUGUUGGAUCAGGACAUCCUAAUGGUGCAGCCGCUAUUAAGGGUUCGUUUGUUCAACGAUUAAUAGUCCUACGUGAUCUGAGUUCAGACCGGAGUAAUCCAGGUCAGUUUCUAUCUAUGAUAUGAUCUUUUCUAGUACGAAAGGACCGAAAAGAAGAGGCCCCUGCUCUAAGUACGCCUCACCUCCAACUGAUGAAAUCAACUAAAACAGUCAAGGAGGC
rnacentral:rRNA from 1 species